UCGAUUGAGUUUGAUCAUGGCUCAGAUUGAACGCUGGCGGCAUGCCUUACACAUGCAAGUCGAACGCGAAAGCGGGGCAACCCGCAAGUAGAGUGGCGAACGGGUGAGUAAUACAUCGGAACGUGCCCAGUAGCGGGGGAUAACCUCUCGAAAGAGAGGCUAAUACCGCAUACGACCUAUGGGUGAAAGAGGGGGAUCGCAAGACCUCUCACUAUUGGAGCGGCCGAUGUCGGAUUAGCUAGUUGGUGGGGUAACGGCCUACCAAGGCGACGAUCCGUAGCUGGUCUGAGAGGACGGCCAGCCACACUGGAACUGAGACACGGUCCAGACUCCUACGGGAGGCAGCAGUGGGGAAUUUUGGACAAUGGGCGCAAGCCUGAUCCAGCCAUGCCGCGUGAGUGAAGAAGGCCUUCGGGUUGUAAAGCUCUUUCGGCGGGGACGAAAAGGUCCGGGUUAACAACUCGGAUCCAUGACGGUACCCGCAUAAGAAGCACCGGCUAACUACGUGCCAGCAGCCGCGGUAAUACGUAGGGUGCAGGCGUUAAUCGGAAUUACUGGGCGUAAAGCGUGCGCAGGCGGUCUUUUAAGUCAGAUGUGAAAUCCCCGGGCUUAACCUGGGAACUGCGUUUGAAACUGGAAGGCUAGAGUGUGGCAGAGGGGGGUGGAAUUCCACGUGUAGCAGUGAAAUGCGUAGAUAUGUGGAGGA
rnacentral:rRNA from 1 species